GAUGAACGCUGGCGGCGUGCCUAAUACAUGCAAGUCGAGCGAACAGACGAGGAGCUUGCUCCUCUGACGUUAGCGGCGGACGGGUGAGUAACACGUGGAUAACCUACCUCUAAGACUGGGAUAACUUCGUGAAACCGGAGCUAAUACCGGAGAAUAUAUUGAACCGCAUGGUUCAAUAGUGAAUGACGGUUUUGCUGUCACUUAUAGAUGGAUCCGCGCCGCAUUAGCUAGUUGGUAAGGUAACGGCUUACCAAGGCGACGAUGCGUAGCCGACCUGAGAGGGUGAUCGGCCACACUGGAACUGAGACACGGUCCAGACUCCUACGGGAGGCAGCAGUAGGGAAUCUUCGGCAAUGGGCGAAAGCCUGACGGAGCCACGCCGCGUGAGUGAUGAAGGUCUUCGGAUCGUAAAACUCUGUUAUUGGGGAAGAACAAAUGUGUAAGUAACUAUGCACGUCUUGACGGUACCUAAUCAGAAAGCCACGGCUAACUACGUG
rnacentral:rRNA from 1 species